GAUGAACGCUGACAGCAUGCUUAACACAUGCAAGUCCACUUGAACUUCGGUUUGGGUGGCGGACGGGUGAGUAACGCGUAAAGAACUUGCCUCACAGAUAGGGACAACAUUUGGAAACGAAUGCUAAUACCUGAUAUUAUGAUUAUAUGGCAUCGUAUAAUUAUGAAAGCUAUAUGCGCUGUGAGAGAGCUUUGCGUCCCAUUAGCUAGUUGGAGAGGUAACGGCUCACCAAGGCGAUGAUGGGUAGCCGGCCUGAGAGGGUGAUCGGCCACAAGGGGACUGAGACACGGCCCUUACUCCUACGGGAGGCAGCAGUGGGGAAUAUUGGACAAUGGACCAAGAGUCUGAUCCGGCAAUUCUGUGUGCACGAUGAAGUUUUUCGGAAUGUAAAGUGCUUUCAGUUGGGAAGAAAAAAAUGACGGUACCAACAGAAGAAGUGACGGCUAAAUACGUG
rnacentral:rRNA from 1 species